UACGUAGGGUGCAAGCGUUGUCCGGAAUUAUUGGGCGUAAAGAGCUCGUAGGCGGUUUGUUGCGUCGGCUGUGAAAUCCCGAGGCUCAACCUCGGGUCUGCAGUCGAUACGAGCAAACUAGAGUGUUGCAGGGGAGACUGGAAUUCCUGGUGUAGCGGUGAAAUGCGCAGAUAUCAGGAGGAACACCGGUAGCGAAGGCGGGUCUCUGGGCAACAACUGACGCUGAGGAGCGAAAGCGUGGGGAGCGAACAGG
rnacentral:rRNA from 1 species